rnacentral:rRNA from 1 species
AUUGAACGCUGGCGGCAGGCCUAACACAUGCAAGUCGAGCGGAUGAAGAGAGCUUGCUCUCUGAUUCAGCGGCGGACGGGUGAGUAAUGCCUAGGAAUCUGCCUGGUAGUGGGGGACAACGUUUCGAAAGGAACGCUAAUACCGCAUACGUCCUACGGGAGAAAGUGGGGGAUCUUCGGACCUCACGCUAUCCGAUGAGCCUAGGUACGAUUAGCCAGUUGGUGAGGUAAAGGCUCACCAAGGCGACGACCGUUAACGGGUCUGAGAGGAUGAUCAGUCAAACUGGAACUGAGACACGGUCCAGACUCCUACGGGAGGCAGCAGUGGGGAAUAUUGGACAAUGGGCGAAAGCCUGAUCCAGCCAUGCCGCGUGUGUGAAGAAGGUCUUCGGAUUGUAAAGCACUUUAAGUUGGGAGGAAGGGCAGUAAGUUAAUACCUUGCUGUUUUGACGUUACCGACAGAAUAAGCACCGGCUAACUUCGUGCCAGCAGCCGCCGUAACAC